rnacentral:lncRNA from 1 species
AGCUGCACACUGCACACACACACAUAUCUCUCGCAGAUCUCGACCACGCGCGCCCACAUGACUCGACGGAGGCAAGCGUUGCAACACUCAUAACUGAAUCAAUGAGUCAUGUAGGCGAUUAUUUUUUGCUUUCACAAUCUGAAACUCACUGGAUAUAGCCAAAUAUGUUUUAGCCAUAGCAAGGCGAACCGUCGUAUCCCGAUUGACCAUAUCGGACACCGAUACGAGGCCUUCAGGUUGUAGCCGUGAAACCAAGCGCAAAGUACACAAAUCCACAUUUCCAAUCUAUGAACCAAUUAAAAAAGAUGUCAUACACGUCAAC